rnacentral:rRNA from 1 species
GACGAACGCUGGCGGCGUGCCUAAUACAUGCAAGUCGAACGCAGUGGGGACGGGUGAGUAACACGUGGGUAACCUCCAAUCAGAGGGGAUAAAACUUGGAAACAGGUGCUAAACCGAUACUGAUGGAUGGACCCGCGGUGCAUUAGCUAGUUGGUGAGGUAACGGCGCACCAAGGCCACGAUGCUUAGCCGGCCUGAGAGGAGGAGCGUCCACACUGGGACUGAGACACGGCCCAGACUCCUACGGGAGGCAGCAGUGGGGAAUAUUGGGCAAUGGGCGAAAGUCUGACCGAGCCACGCCGCGUGAGUGAAGAAGGUUUUCGGAUCGUAAAGCUCUGUUAGUAGAGAAGCGUUAUCUAACCAAAAAGCCACGGCUAACUACGUGCCAGCAGCCGCGGUAAUUC